GACGAACGCUGGCGGCGUGCUUAACACAUGCAAGUCGAACGGAAAGGCCCUGCUUUUGUGGGGUGCUCGAGUGGCGAACGGGUGAGUAACACGUGAGUAACCUGCCCUUGACUUUGGGAUAACUUCAGGAAACUGGGGCUAAUACCGGAUAGGAGCUCCUGCUGCAUGGUGGGGGUUGGAAAGUUUCGGCGGUUGGGGAUGGACUCGCGGCUUAUCAGCUUGUUGGUGGGGUAGUGGCUUACCAAGGCUUUGACGGGUAGCCGGCCUGAGAGGGUGACCGGCCACAUUGGGACUGAGAUACGGCCCAGACUCCUACGGGAGGCAGCAGUGGGGAAUAUUGCACAAUGGGCGGAAGCCUGAUGCAGCAACGCCGCGUGCGGGAUGACGGCCUUCGGGUUGUAAACCGCUUUCGCCUGUGACGAAGCGUGAGUGACGGUAAUGGGUAAAGAAGCACCGGCUAACUACGUGCCAGCAGCCGCGGUGAUACGUAGGGUGCGAGCGUUGUCCGGAUUUAUUGGGCGUAAAGGGCUCGUAGGUGGUUGAUCGCGUCGGAAGUGUAAUCUUGGGGCUUAACCCUGAGCGUGCUUUCGAUACGGGUUGACUUGAGGAAGGUAGGGGAGAAUGGAAUUCCUGGUGGAGCGGUGGAAUGCGCAGAUAUCAGGAGGAACACCAGUGGCGAAGGCGGUUCUCUGGGCCUUUCCUGACGCUGAGGAGCGAAAGCGUGGGGAGCGAACAGGCUUAGAUACCCUGGUAGUCCACGCUGUAAACGGUGGGUACUAGGUGUGGGGUCCAUUCCACGGGUUCCGUGCCGUAGCUAACGCUUUAAGUACCCCGCCUGGGGAGUACGGCCGCAAGGCUAAAGCUCAAAGGAAUUGACGGGGCCCCGCACAAGCGGCGGAGCAUGCGGAUUAAUUCGAUGCAACGCGUAGAACCUUACCUGGGUUUGACAUGGAUCGGGAGUGCUCAGAGAUGGGUGUGCCUCUUUUGGGGUCGGUUCACAGGUGGUGCAUGGCUGUCGUCAGCUCGUGUCGUGAGAUGUUGGGUUAAGUCCCGCAACGAGCGCAACCCUUGUUCACUGUUGCCAGCACGUUAUGGUGGGGACUCAGUGGAGACCGCCGGGGUCAACUCGGAGGAAGGUGGGGAUGACGUCAAGUCAUCAUGCCCCUUAUGUCCAGGGCUUCACGCAUGCUACAAUGGCUGGUACAGAGAGUGGCGAGCCUGUGAGGGUGAGCGAAUCUCGGAAAGCCGGUCUCAGUUCGGAUUGGGGUCUGCAACUCGACCUCAUGAAGUCGGAGUCGCUAGUAAUCGCAGAUCAGCAACGCUGCGGUGAAUACGUUCCCGGGGCU
rnacentral:rRNA from 1 species